rnacentral:rRNA from 1 species
UUAACAAAAACAUGUCCUUUUGAUUAUGAUUUAAGGUCUAAUCUGCUCAAUGAUGUUUAAAUUGCCGCAGUAUUCUAACUGUGCGAAGGUAGCAUAAUAAUUAGUUUCUUGAUUAGGAGCUGGAAUGAAUGAUUGGACGAGAAAAUUUCUGUCUCAUUUUAAUGUUUUAUUGAAUUUUAUUUUUAAGUUAAAAAGCUUAAAUGAUUAUGAAAGACGAGAAGACCCUAUAGAGUUUAAUAUAAAAAUAUAAUUAGAUUAUAGAAAUAGUUUUUAUUUUUUUAUAUUUAGUUGGGGUGACUUGAGGAUUAACUAAAUUCUUUAAAUUUUUAAUUGAUGAUAUUUAAUUUUUUAAUUUAUAAAUUAUAGAUUUAAAAUAAAUUACCUUAGGGAUAACAGCGUAAUUUUUCUUUAAAGUUCUUAUUAAAAGAAGAUUUUGCGACCUCGAUGUUGGAUUAAAAUAAAUUUUUGGUGCAGUAACUUAAAAAUUAGGUCUGUUCGACCUUUAAAAUUUUACAUGAUCUGAGUUUAAACCGGCGUAAGCCAGGUUGGAUUCUAUCUUUAGAAAAAUUAAUAUAUUUUAGUACGAAAGGACCGAAUAUUUAUUAGAUAUUAAUUG